UACGAAGGGGCUAGCGUGCUCGGAAUCACUGGGCGUAAAGCGCACGUAGGCCGAUUGUUAAGUCAGGGGUGAAAUCCUGGAGCUCAACUCCAGAACUGCCCUUGAUACUGACGGUCUCGAGUCCGGGAGAGGUGAGUGGAACUGCGAGUGUAGAGGUGAAAUUCGUAGAUAUUCGCAAGAACACCAGUGGCGAAGGCGGCUCACUGGCCCGGUACUGACGCUGAG
rnacentral:rRNA from 1 species